UACGUAGGGGGCAAGCGUUGUCCGGAAUCAUUGGGCGUAAAGCGCGCGUAGGCGGCCCGGUAAGUCCGCUGUAAAAGUCCAGGGCUCAACCCUGGAAAGCCGGUGGAUACUGUCGGGCUAGAGUCCGGAAGAGGCGAGUGGAAUUCCUGAUGUAGCGGUGGAAUGCGCAGAUAUCAGGAGGAACACCAAUGGCGAAGGCAGCACUCUGGGACGUGACUGACGCUGAGACGCGAAAGCGUGGGGAGCAAACAGG
rnacentral:rRNA from 1 species